CUGCCCAGUGACUAUACGUUAAACGGCCGCGGUAUUUUGACCGUGCAAAGGUAGCGCAAUAAAUUGUCUCUCAAUUGGAGACUAGUAUGAAUGGCACCACGAGGGCUUAACUGUCUCCCCUCUAAAGUCAAUGAAAUUGAUCCCCCCGUGCAGAAGCGGGGAUACGCUCGUAAGACGAGAAGACCCUAUGGAGCUUUAGACAUAAAGUCAACCCAUGUUAAACACCUUAAAAAGAAAUAAACAGACUGGACCUUGCUAAUACAUGUCUUCGGUUGGGGCGACCAUGGGGAAAGACAAAACCCCCACAUAGAUUAGGACUACUCAGUCCUAAAACAUAGACCCACAGGUCACAGUAACAGUACCUCUGACCACUAAAGACCCGGCACAAGCCGAUCAAUGGACCUAGUUACCCUAGGGAUAACAGCGCAAUCCUCUCCAAGAGCCCCUAUCGACGAGAGGGUUUACGACCUCGAUGUUGGAUCAGGACAUCCUAAUGGUGCAGCCGCUAUUAAGGUUCGU
rnacentral:rRNA from 1 species